GUUUCUUGUUGGUAAUGUUUUAACUUCUGCAGCCACACAUGUUGGUUUGAUGAGAAGAAUCUUUCUUCCGAAGUCUUAUCCUUUUGCAAACAACUCAGGAAAUCCACUGGGAGCAAUGCAGCAACCAUAUGGGAGUGUCCCUGUCAUUUAGUAACCUUGGUAGGAAUUUUUGUGGCUAGGUGAGUGUACAUGAAAAAAUUGUUAUAUGUGUCUGAAUGCUGAUGUUGAUAGCUCCUUUAAGUUGAGGUUUUACCUCUUCUGUGUUAACUAUUUGUAACUUCAUAACAAUUUGGACUUUCCAAAAAAAUAGGUAAAUGUUGAUUAUAGAAUGCCCCAACUGGCAUAGUGCAUAGCAGAUUUGCAUCAUUCAUGAGAUUGCAAGGUUUUUUUUUAAUAUAAAAAUAUUUGACAUGAAGAUUUUACAAAAUUAUCAGCUAUCAAAGUUGCAAAGUUU